rnacentral:misc_RNA from 1 species
UAUUGCGUGUGAGUUGAAAGAAAGACGCUUCUAAUUUCUCUCUUUUAAGUUAAAAUUUUUCCUCAUUUGAUUUUACUGCUAAACGUCAGCAAAGCACCUGGGAGCCCAUUGAGAACUUGAGCGGUGAUUGUCUGUCAAUGCUGGCGGACUUCGAGGCAGCUGAAUUUGCAAAGUUAAACGCUCAAACUCGAGGGUCAGACCGACGUCAGGGUGUUGUUGACUCAUCCCCACUGAAGCAAGAAAUGGAAUAUAAAAAGACACAGAAGCCUCAGCAGCGAAAGAAGCAAAAGAAGCAGCAGCCAAAACAGAAGUUUGAACCAAUGAAUCAACCAGAUCUGUCUUCAGAUUUAUGUCAGGAUCUUAUGGUCAGUAGCGACAGCAGCGACUGCGCCGGCAAUGACAGCGAUAAGGAAAGUGUCAGUGGCAGCAGCAGUAGCAGCAGCAGCAGCAGCAGUAACAGCAGCGGUAGCGACAGUGACAGCGAUGAUGCUAAGCGUCGGAAGCCAAAUCCAAAAUCUAAGCCUACGUCCAGUGCAUUUCUUAGCGAUCUGAAUUUGCCACCCAAACCUAAUCUAAGCAGCGAUGGUGAUUCUGAUGAUAACCCCACAUCACUGCCGAAACCAGUGCCAUCAGCGGCUCCAAAGAUGCUGCCAAUGGCAGCAGCGGCUCCAAUGAUGCCGCCAGUGGCACCAGUGGUUCCAAAGAUGCCGCCAGUGGCACCAGCGGCACCAAAGAUGCCGCCAGUAGCAUCAGCGGCUCCAAAAAUGCCGCCAGUAACAUCAGCGGCUCCAAAGAUGCCGCCAGUAACAUCAGCGGCUCCAAAGAUGCCGCCAGUGGCACCAGCGGCUCCAAAGAUGCCACCAGUGUCAUCAGCGGCUCCAAAGAUGCCACCAGUGGCACCAGCAGGCUUAAGGAUGCCACCAGCGGGUUUAAAGAUGCCACCAGCUGCUCCAAAGAUGCCACCAGCACCUCCAAAUAUGCCACUAGCGGCUUCAAGGAAGAAACCGGAGGCGUCAAAGAAGCCUAAGAUAAGGCCAGUGUCAAUGCCUUUACUUACACAGCCGCCUCUAGCUGCACAUAAGCCACCAAUAUCGUCUCUUGCUCCACCUGCACGUGCAGCAACUCCACCUCUUGCAAGAAUUGCAUCACUUAAACCAGCUGCAACAAAUGUGCCACGUCCAUCACUUAAGCCAUUGGACCCAUCAGUACCACUAUCGCAAUUUGAACCACUUGACCUGUCCCAAUCAGAACAACCUGUUAAAACAAAUGAUAAAAAUAUUGCUUCGAAAAAUAUUUAUAAACGAAGCUCUGUCAUGGAUCUAAAUCAUCCCGAUACUGUGAAAAACUCAAAGGUGGAACCCAUGUCGACAGCCAAUCUCGAUGUGCAGGAUUUAUCCAAAAGUUCGUGUUAUAUGAAGGAGAACAAUGAGCAUGCAAGCGAUAAUUUACAUAAAUCAUCCCAGAAGCCUGGAGCUUCAGAUGAGGAGAGCAGCAAGCGCAAAAAAAAGUCGCAAAGUCAACCGAAAUCAUCGAAGAAAAGUCGCUCUGAUGCGCUGCCGCUGACUAUGGAUACAUCUCCAAAAAAGAGUUCCAAAUCUAACAAAUCUAAGGCCUUGACAGUUGAGCAUACACAAGACAUACCAGCUCCAUUACCAAACCUGUCCGAAGUACCGAAGGAGAUCCCUGCCAGCACCACAAGUGCCGAAAGCAGCAGCAACGCUGCACCUGCUCAAACCGAAUGCGAUUAUCGACUCCACGAAAUGGGCAGGUGGGAUGAUGCACUAAACUUACAAGCUCGCGUCCAGGGCCUCCAACGUGGACUGACAUUGGAGAAAAUCCUUAAGGUGUUCAAGAUGCGAGGCGAAACCUAUCUGGUGGUCAAGUGGAAAACACUCACAACACCCGAUGCUGUGUCACUCUGUUCUAUCAUUGACAUGUAUCCGCACUUAGUUAUAGAGUACUUUGAGAAACUCCAGUUGCGCUGCCCCACAGAUACUUAAUACCUAUUAGCUCUAUUGGCGAUAGUCUCAGAUCUUUAUAGAGUUCCAAUUGGCAAGUUCGAUGCCUUUCAGAUUAAUGUUGUUGCUGCACUUAGUCGUCAAUUGGCAAACUAUAAAAAAAAUUUUUUUUUUUAAAUGUAUUUAUUCAUACGAAGUCUUCUUAAUUUUGUGAACUGCAGCUGGAAACCAGUUUAAUU